rnacentral:rRNA from 1 species
GUCGCCUCCUAAAAGGUAACGGAGGCGCUCAAAGGUUCCCUCAGAAUGGUUGGAAAUCAUUCAUAGAGUGUAAAGGCAUAAGGGAGCUUGACUGCGAGACCUACAAGUCGAGCAGGGUCGAAAGACGGACUUAGUGAUCCGGUGGUUCCGCAUGGAAGGGCCAUCGCUCAACGGAUAAAAGCUACCCCGGGGAUAACAGGCUUAUCUCCCCCAAGAGUUCACAUCGACGGGGAGGUUUGGCACCUCGAUGUCGGCUCAUCGCAUCCUGGGGCUGUAGUCGGUCCCAAGGGUUGGGCUGUUCGCCCAUUAAAGCGGUACGCGAGCUGGGUUCAGAACGUCGUGAGACAGUUCGGUCCCUAUCCGUCGUGGGCGUAGGAAAUUUGAGAGGAGCUGUCCUUAGUACGAGAGGACCGGGAUGGACAUACCUCU